CGAACGCUGGCGGCAGGCCUAAUACAUGCAAGUCGAACGGCUCUUCGGAGCAGUGGCGGACGGGUGAGUAACGCGUGGGAAUGUGCCCUUAGGUACGGAACAACACAGGGAAACUUGUGCUAUACCGUAUGUGCCCUUCGGGGGAAAGAUUUAUCGCCUUUGGAGCAGCCCGCGUUGGAUUAGGUAGUUGGUGAGGUAAAGGCUCACCAAGCCGACGAUCCAUAGCUGGUCUGAGAGGAUGACCAGCCACACUGGGACUGAGACGCGGCCCAGACUCCUACGGGAGGCAGCAGUAGGGAAUCUUGCGCAAUGGGCGAAAGCCUGACGCAGCCAUGCCGCGUGUAUGAUGAAGGUCUUAGGAUUGUAAAAUACUUUCACCGGGGAAGAUAAUGACGGUACCCGGAGAAGAAGCCCCGGCUAACUUCGUGCCAGCCGCCGCGGUAACAC
rnacentral:rRNA from 1 species